CAGCAGAAAACCUGUCAAUCAAGGAAUGUAAGGCAACGAUGCUGGGGCUUUACAUGUAUAGUAUUGAUGCGCGUACCAUAACCGUACAUCGUAUGUAAAGGCAAUAGCCUACUCACAUCGGUUUAUAGCCUAUCUAAAUCCAGAUAUUUACCUAUUGCGUAAAUAAUCCUGUGGGGUUUUGUAGAUGAUUCGCGUCGCGUACGGUCAAUUUGAUUCCUUAGUAGGCCCACUAGACUAGAUUCCUUUUAUGUCACUCGCUCAAAAAUGUGGCACGGAUUUUACAGUCGUAGGAUGACAGAUUACUCAAGUGUUGUGAAUGACACUUGUUUCAGGAGUGGCUAUGUGAACAUGUGUCAGCGAUGACCGAAGUUGAAGUGACGUAUGCAGACUUCAUAGCCUCCGGCAGAACUGGACGAAGAAAUGCCCUGCAUGAUAUCCUCCAAAGCCCCACUGACCCAGACGCCAGGGAUCUCCCCCUGAGCCUAUCUCAACUCAACAUCAACCCAACCAGGGCUGACAUGGAAGAAAGUCAGGAAUCGUCCACAAACGCUCUGCCAAAGUCAGGGCAGAAGAAUCGGGGAAACUUUCAGGCCUAAACACUGAGUCGGGCCUGCACUCACCACCACAAAGUCUCCCAAAAUCGCACAAACAGUGUAGUUCGUUAUGAAAGAAAAACUGUAGUCAACGGGAAAUAAUUAAACUGUGUAGAAUUCGACGCAAUGGUUCCCUCAGCCCUUAGCUGGGAGAGACACCUGUUUUUAAUAUGGAGAUUGGGCCAAACAUCCCCGUAUUUAACAAUGGAUUAGGGCUAAAGCCAGACUGAGGUUGGCAAAUAGUGAUUUAAGUAAUUCUUUAGGAUCCAUCUACCUUACUAGAGGAUGCAAGGAACUGCAAAGAGCAUGUAAAGAUCGGGUUAUAAUGGUGCUGGUUGACAGUGUAGAAACUACAGGUGGACUACAGUUUAUGUGGUUGCUGUAGUGACUGAAAGGAUUUGAGCAUUUUGAUCUCAUACUUCCUUCAGAAACAUCAUCCAGACACCGCCCCAUUUUUUUUAUAGUAUAUGUUAUACAGUAUACGUCAUUGAUCACAGGUUUUUGUUAAACAACACCACUACCUUGGAUAUCGGCAUUAUUUACAGAAUAGAUUACACUAGGUCUGUCAACAUCUUAAUUUGUGCAGUGUUUCUUUAAAAAUGCGCGUACACUAUUUUAUACUUUUUGUAUGCUUUGUUUGGAGUUUUCACCUGAGACUGUAUCACUAUUGAUGUCGACCACAGAUGUAGCAACCAGUACUUUAAGAUAAACCUUUUUAAUUCCAAGUUAAUGUAACAUUUUGCAGUGCUGUUGUUGAAGCCAAGCACCACUAAAGUGGGUGUGUAUGUGUAAUAAAUGCUUACCAAAUGAUAUGAUGGCAUUAUGCACCAGGGUUGGGGUCAAUUCCAUUUCAAUCUAUUCAGACAGUAAACCAAAUUCCAAUAGUAUUAUUAUUAUUUUAUUUUCUUCACCCCCUUUUUCUCCCCAAUUACAUGGUAUCCCAUUGGUAGUUACAGUCUUGUCUCGUCGCUGCAAUUCCCGUACGGACUCAGGAGAGGCGAAGGUCGAGAGCCGUGCGUCCUCCGAAACACAAUCCAACCAAGCUGCACUGCUUCUUGACACAAUGCCCACCUAACCCGGAAGCCAGCAGCACCGAUGUGUUGGAGGAAACACCGUACACUUGGCAACCGUGUCAGUGCGCACUACGCCCGGCCCGCCACAGGAGUCGCUAGUGCGUGAUGGGACAAGGACAUCCCUGCCAGCCAAACCCUCCCCUAACCCAGACAACGCUGGGCCAAUUGCGCGCCGCCCCAUGAGUCUCCCGGUCGCGGCCAGCAACGACAGAGCCUGGACUCGAACCCAGAAUUUCAAGUGGCACAGCUAACACUGCGAUGCAGUGUCUUAGACCACCCGGGAGGCCCCUCAAAUUCCAAUUCCAAGCCCAAAUUUUCCUAAUUGAAAAGUAUUGUAGAGAAUUGGAAUUUCUGUGUACUUCCUAAAUUGUCUGGAAUUGACCUCAACCCUGUUACGCAUUGUGUAUGCCUAAAAUGUCGCUGAUGGGCAAUUUCACUGAUGCAGUCAUACUAAACUCAGCAAAAAAAGAAACGUCCCUUUUUCAGGACCCUGUCUUUCAAAGAUAAUUCAUAAAAAUCAAAUCAAAAUAACUUCACAGAUCUUCAUUUUAAAGGGUUUAAACACUGUUUCCCAUGCUUGUUCAAUGAACCAUAAAAACAAUUAAUGAACAUGCACCUGAGGAACGGUCAUUAAGACACUAACAGCUUACAGACGGUAGGCAAUUAAGGUCACAGUUAUGAAAACUUAGG